rnacentral:lncRNA from 1 species
GGGUCGCGCGGGGUCGGGGGGGGGAGGGGGGAGGGGGAGGGGAUCGAUUUUUGGGGGAUUCGCAUCGAUUUUUUUGGGGGAUUUCUCAUCGAUUUUUUUGGGGGAUUCUCAUCGAUUUUUUGGGGGAUUUUCAUCGAUUUUUGGGGUUUCCCGCCGCGGCUCCAUCGAUCCCGGCGCCGCCAGCGCCUCGCGGGGGGGGAGGGGGGCUGGGAAAGGGGGGGGGACCCCCAGAGACCCCCGGGACCCCCCCCAAAAAUCCCCCAGACCCCAAAAUCCUCCCCAGACCCCCCAAAUCCUCCAAAUCCCCCCAAAAUCCUCCCCAGACCCCCCAAAUCCUCCAAAUACCCCCAAAAUCCUCCUCAGACCCCCCAAAUCCCCCAAAUCCCCCCCAGACCCCCCCAAGACCCUUCAGACCUCCCCAAAUUCCUCCAGACCCCCAAAACGACCCCAGGACCCCCCAAACCCCCCAAAAUCCCCAAACCCCCCUUGAAUCCCCCAAAAUCUCCCCAAAUCCCCCAAAAUCUCCCCCAAAACCCCCUCAAAACCCCCAAAUUCCCCCAAAUCCCCCCAAAUCUCCCCAAAUCCCCCCCAAAUCUCCCCAAUUUUCCUCAAGUCCCCCCAAAUCCCCCCAAAACCCCCAAAUCUCCCCCAAAUCUCCCCCAAAACCCCCAAAUCUCCCCAAAAUCCCCCUCCAAACCCUCCCAAAUCCCCUCAAACCCCCCCAAUCCCCUCCCCCCGCCCCUCCCCCAUCAGCGUUAUCGAUCUCCCGCCCCUCCCCCCCCGCCGCCGAUCGAUCUCCCGCCCCGCCGAUCGAUCGGGGCCUCCCCCAUCGAUCGGGGCCUCCCCCAUCGAUCGAUCCCCGCCCGGCGGCGCCCGCGCGGUCCGAGGGGACCCCGAGACCCCCCCGGGACCCCCAAAACUGCCCCGGGACCCCCAAAACUGCCCCGAGACCCCCCGGGACCCCCAAAACCGCCCCGGGACCCCCAAAACCGCCCCGGGACCCCCAAAACUGCCCCGGGACCCCCAAAACUGCCCCGGGACCCCCAAAACUGCCCCGGGACCCCCAAAACUGCCCCGGGACCCCCCCGGGACCCCCAAAACUGCCCCGGGACCCCCAAAACCGCCCCGGGACCCCCCCGGGACCCCCAAAACUGCCCCGGGACCCCCAAAACAGCCCCGGGACCCCCCCGGGACCCCCAAAACUGCCCCAGGACCCCCAAAACAGCCCCGGGACCCCCAAAACUGCCCCGGGACCCCCAAAACCGCCCCGAGACCCCCCGGGACCCCCAAAACUGCCCCGGGACCCCCAAAACCCCCCCGGGACCCCCAAAACUGCCCCGGGACCCCCCCGGGACCCCCAAAACAGCCCCGAGACCCCCAAAACAGCCCCGGGACCCCCAAAACUGCCCCGGGACCCCCAAAACAACCCCGAGACCCCCCGGGACCCCCAAAACCGCCCCGAGACCCCCCCGGGACCCCCAAAACAGCCCCGGGACCCCCAAAACUGCCCCGGGAUCCCCCAUGGGACCCCCAACAUCCUCCCCAGCCCCUCCCCCUCCCCCCGGUUUUGGGGUCCUGCCCCUCCCCACCCUGGGGGGGCUCGGGGGGGGUGGGGGAGGGGCUGAGCCCCCCAAUCCCCCCAACCCCCCCCCGUGUCCGGCAGGUCCCGGCCCGGAGCCGAGGCAGCGUCCGAGGGCGGCCGGAGAGAACUGAGGAUGUCUAAACCCCUGGAGCUGGAGAAGGAGCUGCCGGGGGAGCGCCCGGGUAGGGACUUUUGGGGACUUUUGGGGACAUUUUGGGACAUUUUGGGACAUUUUGGGGACAUUUUUGGGGGCCCUCGAGGGGAUUUGGGGACCCCCCUGAGUGUCCCCUCCCCCCCCAGACACAGAAACCAAUGGACCCGACACGAACCACCAGGUGAGAUUUGGGGAUUUUGGGGGUUUUUUGGGGGGUUUGGGGGGUUUUUUUGGGGGGUUUCACCCCCCCCAAAUCUGGGGGUCCCCCCAAAUUUGGCUCCUCCCCCCCCAGGCCCAGCAGAACAAACCCCCCCCCUUCGGCCCCGCCCCCCCCGGCCCCGGCGCCAAGGUAAGAGAGAGACCCCAAAAAUCCUCCCCAAAAUCCUCCCAAAAUAUCCCAAAAUCCUCCCCAAAAUACCCUGAAAAUCCUCCCCAAAAUCCUCCCAAAAUAUCCCAAAAUCCUCCUCAAAAUCCUCCCCAAAAUACCCCAAAAAUCCUCCCCAAAAUACCCCAAAAAUCCUCCCCAAAAUACCCCAAAAAUCCUCCCCAAAAAUCCUCCCCAAAAUACCCCAAAAAUCCUCCCCAAAAUACCCCAAAAAUUCUCCCCAAAAUCCUCCCAAAAUCCUCCCAAAAUCCUCCUCAAAAUCCCCAAAACUCCUGCCCAAAUACCCCAAAAUCCUCCCCAAAAUCCCUUUAAAAUCCUUCCCCAAAUCCUCCUCAAAUUCCCCCAAAAAUCCUCCCCAAAUCCCCCAGAAAAUCAUUCCCCAAAUUCCCAAAUCCGCCCCAAAUUCUGCCCCAAUUUUUACCCCAAAUUCCCCAAAUUUUGCUGCAAAUUUGGCCCCAAAUCAGCCCCAAAUCUGCCCCAAAUCCCCCAACUUUUCCCCCAAAUCCCCCAAAUCUGCCCCAAAUCCCCCAAA